CCAAUAACUGAUGAAUAUAAAAUAAGCUCAGGCGGAAUGGAUAAAGAUAGCAGAAAGGACGGACGGACAUAUUCCACUAAAAGCCAACAAAGAAGCCGCCUUUCAAAGCGCUCACACAAUGGGAAGGCAACAACGGCCUGCAAUAGCGCGCCUCCGCCGGCAGAUGUCGCCAAAGAGCCCCGCCGCGUUGGCGGGGAUCAAUCGGCAGCUCUGAGCGGGGAGCAUCAUGGAGGAGGAAGCGGAACGAGGCUGCCUUCAACCAGACGCGACUGAUACAUUUUUUGUCACCGUCUAACGGCGCCCGCCCGGCGGGGAGCGAGACCCCAGACGACGGCCGAGCACACGGGGGGAUUCCGCGGUCUUCGCCCGUCGCGUCGGUGCCGUCCGUGGGCUCGGCCGCGCCGCGGAUGGCGCUCUUUUUUUGUGACAUUAGUAAUAAUGGCGGAUAUGAAUUAGCCUAGCUCCCAGGAUGUGACCCGACAUAUGUAACCGGACACAAACUACACACGGGCUUCUUCGUCAGGUAUUUCUGCGAGAGCCCGAGUGGAAGCGUCGAUAUAAGCCGCUCUCCCGCGGACCUACUCGGACGUUUUGUGCUCACCCUGGUUCCCCGAAGUUCCCGGAGUGUGCUGGUGGGCAUUGGGCUUGUAGGACAUUCCGAGAGACAUUGUAAAGCAAAGAAAUAAAAAUGACCCGACAUUCAGCGAGGCGUCUUGUCUCCCACUUUUUCUUGUUUACGGCGGCGGCGCGGCAAACAUGGCCGUCACUGGAUGUUGACACCCCGCCAGCCGAGCAUCCCCAGCCCGCCAAACACACACUUUGUGCGGCCAAAAGUGGCAUGUUUGACACGCUCUUGCAGCCCACUUCAAGUACAUUUUGGACAAGUUUAGCUGCGCUUCUGCGCCACAUUUUAACUCACUUUGGACACGUCUUCCGCUCAAUUGCAACACUGUUAGAAGUACAGGAUAACAAUAUUCAAUACACUUACAUUUGACACUUUUUCUCAAUUGAGUUAAGGAUUUACGUCCUUUCCUCUUUUCUAUUAUAUAUAUAUGUACGAGUAAUUUUAUUCUAUUUUGCUUUUAUUUUGUUGUUUUUACACUUUUAUGACAGUCAAUAAUGCUACGUCUACAUCCCACGUCUUAUAAAGGAGAGUAUUUUUGGUUUAUUUUGUUGUCUUUACAAUUUUAUGACAGUUAAGACUGCUGAGCCUCCACACCACGUCAUCAAAAGCCAGUAACGCAGAGUCUACAUCCCACGUCUUAUAAAGUUAAGACUGCUGAGCCUCCAGAGUGCAUCAUCAAAAAGUGAGUAGUUUGGGCUUAUUUUGUUGUUUUUUCACUUAUUUGACAGCAAAUAAUGUCUUUAAAAGGUGAGUGUGGUUUUAUUUUGUUGUCUUUACACUUUUAUGACAGCCAAUAAUGCAGAGUCUACGUCCCAUGUUUUAUAAAGGAGAGUAUUUUUGGUUUUAUUUUGUUGUCUUUACAAUUUUAUGACAGUUAAGACUGCUGAGCCUCCAGACUGCAUCAUCAAAAGGUGAGUAGUUUGGGCUUAGUUUGUUAUUUUACACUUUUUUGGCAGCAAAUAACGUUAAGUGAGUGGUUUUAUUUUGUUGUCUUUACACUUUUAUGACAGCCAAUAACACAGUCUACAUCGCAUGUCUUAUAAAGGAGAGUAUUUUUGUUUUUAUUUUGUUGUCUUUACAUUUUUAUGACAGCUAAGACUGCUGAGCCUCCACACUGGGUCAUCAAAAGGUGAGUAGUUUGGUUGUGUUUUGGUUUUUUGUUGUUUUUACACUUUUUUGACAGCAAAUAACGUUAAGUCUUCAUUUAACGUCUUUGAAAGGUGAGUGUGGUUUUAUUCUGUUGUCUUUACACUUUUAUGACAGCUAAGAAUGCUGAGUCUACAUCCCAUGUCAUCCGUAAGGUGAGUAGUUUGGUAGUAUUUCAGUUUUAUUUUGUUGUUUUUACACUUAUUUGACAGCAAAUAACGCUAAGUCUUCAUUUAACGUCUUUGAAAGGUGAGUGUGGUUUUAUUCUGUUGUCUUUACACUUUUAUGACAGCUAAGAAUGCUUAGUCUACAUCCCAUGUCAUCCGUAAGGUGAGUAAUUUGGUUUUAUUUUGUUGUCUUUACACUUUUAUGACAGCUACAAUGCAGAGUCUACAUCCCAUGUCAUCUGUAAGGUGAGUAAUUUGGCUUUAUUUUGUUGUCUUUACACUUUUAUGACAGUUAAAUGCAGAGUCUACAUCCCAUGUCAUCCGUAAGGCGAGUCAUUUGGUUUUAUUUUGUUGCCUUUUACACUUAAUUGACAGUAAAUAACGUUAAGUCUUCAUUUAACAUAUUUGAAAGGUGAGUGUGGUUUUAUUUUGUCUUUACACUUAUGACAGUUAAGAAUGCUGAGUCUCCAUCCCAUGUCAUCCCGUAAGGCGAGUCAUUUUGUUGUAUUUUGGUCUUAUUUUGUUGUUUUUACUUAUUUGACAGCAACCAAGUCUACAUCCCAUGUCAUGGAAAGGUCAGCCGUUUUGUUCUAUUGUGUUUUUGUACUUUCAUGACAGCAAGUGACGUUAAGUCUUCAUCCAACGUCUUUGAAAGGUGAUUGUGCAUUUAUUUUGUUGUCCUUACACUUUUAUGAGUUGAGAAUGCUGAGUCUACCUCCAGGUUCUGUAACAGGUUCUUCCCUCAGGCCACAAGACUCUUGAACGCAUCAUAAUAAUCCCCUCAAUUCCCCUAAAAACGGAUGAACUGGCAAAAGUUAGACAAUAUAACAUACAUGUGCAAUAUAUUUAUCUGUACAGUAAAUCUAUUUAUACAUUCUUUUGCAAACUCUCUGCACCUUAUUGCUCUUCUAUCCUGCACUACAACCAGCUAAUUCAACGUCAUUUCCUUCUCAUCUGUACUGUAAAGUUCAAACUUGAAUUACAAUAAAGGAAGUCUAAGUCCAUGUCAUCCGUAAAGUGAGUAAUUUUGUAGUAUUUUGGGCUUAUUUUGGUGUUUUUCACUUAUUUGACAGCAACGAAAGCCAAGUCUACAUCCCAUGUCAUCGCAAGGUUAGCAGUUUUGGCUUUGCAUAGUAGUUUUAACUUGCACUCACAGAUGUAGCGACCAACUGUCGUUACUGAUAGUGGGUUUCUGAAGUGUUCCUGAGCCCAUGUGGUGAUAUCCUUUACACACUGAUGCUGCUUUUUGAUGCAGUACCGCCUGAGGGAACCUAGGCCGGUAAUAUCAUGGCUUACGUGCAGUGAUUUCUCCAGAUUCUCUGAAUCUUUUGAUAUUACAGAGCGUAGAUGAUGAAAUCCCUAAAUUCCUUGCAAUAGCUGGUUGAGAAAUGUUGUUCUUAAACAAUUUGCUCAGGCAUUUGUUGACAAAGUGGUGACCCUCGCCCCGUUCUUGUUUGUGAAUGACUGAGCAUUUCAUGGAAGCUGCUUUUACACCCAAUCAUGGCACCCACCUGUUCCCAAUCAGCCUGUUCACCUGUGGGAUGUUCCAAAUAAGUCUUUGACGAGCAUUCCUCCACUUUAUCAGUCUUUUUUGCCACUUGUGCCAUCUUUUUUGAAACAUGUUGCAGGCAUCAAAUUCCAAACGAGCUAAUAUUUGCAAAAAUAACAGUUUACCAGUUUGAAUGUUAAAUUAUUGUCUAUUCAAUUGAAUACAAGUUGAAAAGGAUUAGCAAAUCAUUGUAUUCUGUUUUCAUUUACCAUUUACACAAUGUGACAACUUCACUGCUUUUGAGUUUUGUACAAUAGGAAACAAAAUACACCAAUAAGAUUAAAAUGUAUACUUACACAGAUAAGGAAUAAAAUGCACUUAUACUUACACUACCGUUCAAAAGUUUGGGGUCACCCAAACAAUUUUGUGGAGUAGCCUUCAUUUCUAAGAACAAGAAUAGACUGUCGAGUUUCAGAUGAAAGUUCUCUUUUUCUGGCCAUUUUGAGCGUUUAAUUGACCCAACAAAUGUGAUGCUCCAGAAAGUCAAUCUGCUCAAAGGAAGGUCAGUUUUGUGAAGUGAAUUAUAUUUAUAUAGCGCUUUUUCUCUAGUGACUCAAAGUGCUUUACAUAGUGAAACCCAAUAUCUAAGUUACAUUUAAACCAGUGUGGGUGGCACUGGGAGCAGGUGGGUAAAGUGUCUUGCCCAAGGACACAACGGAAGUGACUAGGAUGGUAGAAGCUGGGAUCGAACCUGGAACCCUCAAGUUGCUGGCACGGCCACUCUACCAACCGAGCUAUACCGCCCUUGUAGCUUCUGUAACGAGCUAAACUGUUUUCAGAUGUGUGAACAUGAUUGCACAAGGGUUUUCUAAUCAUCAAUUAGCCUUCUGAGCCAAUGAGCAAACACAUUGUGCCAUUAGAACACUGGAGUGAUAGUUGCUGGAAAUGGGCCUCUAUACACCUAUGUAGAUAUUGCACCAAAAACCAGACAUUUGCAGCUAGAAUAGUCAUUUACCACGUUAGCAAUGUAUAGAGUGUAUUUCUUUAAAGUUAAGACUAGUUUAAAGUUAUCUUCAUUGAAAAGUACAGUGCUUUUCCUUCAAAAAUAAGGACAUUUCAAUGUGAACCCAAACUUUUGAACGGUAGUGGACAACUAGAGUAACAUUUAGGAUGUGAAUAGGUAACUGAAGUACUUUACAUAUUCCUCCAUCACCGGUCCGGAUCUGCAACCAAGCUGUGGACGACCAGAACCUGCAGAAACCUUUCUUCCAUCCCUGCAGAGCCUGGUCACAAAUCAGUGCACGGCAGAAAAGAUGAUUACAUGGGAUGAAAAGACCAAAGUGGAAGUACAAGUGGGCUUUAUUGAGUGCUGCACUCAAGUCAUGUACAGGUCAGCGUCUUUUCAUCAACAUUCUGCAGGUUGUUGUACGUCCAAGCAUCCCAGAGGUCAGCACAGUGAAGGAGGUGCAGGCUGCGAUGCAACAAUCUAGUUUUUGACGUGGGGGGGAAAAAAAUGAGCAUAUACACGUUUGGGUUGUGCUGCGACACAAAAUGGAGACGUGUUGUCAACUACGGUUCUUGGAGGAUGAGUAACGACUCAUGCACUGCACCUGAGAAGCCCGGCAGAAAGAGUCACUUCAUGCAGAAUUCCCGACUCCUGGCCGCCAUUUGAAGAAAGGUCGGCACAAAGUGUGGAAACAUUCUGUCCAUGCCUUCAACUAUUGGAAGUGUGGCUUCUAAUGCAGACUUGGUGCUUUGGCUCAAACUGCGGCAACAAGUCCAAACACUUCCACUCUGAAUGUCAGAGGACAAAAAAACCCCCUCACCAAGCACAUCAGUUCCUCUGGGCCGCGCCUCACGUGAUCGGGGAGGGGCGCGAGGUCCCAUCAGGACCGGAGGUCAGUCUGGAGGCCGGCGCGUGCCCCCUCCCCCGCCCGCUAUGUGGUGGCCGUGUGACUGAGACUCUGCGGGUGCAGCUGCUGCCUCUUCUGCUGCUCCUGCACGGCCAGCUGCUGGAACUGGUCCGAGGUGGACAGCUUGUGCAUCAGCGGGGACACGCAGUUGGCCGGGAUGAUGAGUCCUGUGGGGUUCAGGCGUGUCAGUGCUCGCUGGAACUUCUGGAAGACGCUGAUUUUUUUCUCUACGGUGCUGCUAAUUUUGGGGUUUUUUUCUUUGCAAAUAGUUGUCAAACACUAUGGCGCCCUCUUUUGGGCAAACUUGCUCACUGCAGAUCAAUGUUCCCUCUAAUUUUUCAUGUGUGAGCAAACGCAAAAACUCCCUGAGCAUUGAGUGGAGCCCAUGUGAGCAACAUCAGACGUGCACACUGUGGCUACACCAGCAGCACACCUGUCCAGAACCUGACUAAAUAACAACUUCAAUCUCCAUCCAUCCAUCCAUUUUCUACCGCUUGUCCCUUUCGGGGUCGCUGGAGCCUAUCUCAGCUGCAUUGGACAAGUCCCCACCUCAUCGCAGGGCCAACACAGAUAGACAGACAACAUUCUCUUAUUAUUAUCCUCAAAUGACAGCAGUCAUUUCCUUUUCUAAUAUAAGUGUUUAGGCCCACUUACAAUGACAAUAACAACAAAUAUUGUUUUCCAUGAACUGUGUACUUGUAUUGUUUGUCUGGGUGGAGGUCCUGCUUUGGAAAUCGUUUGUACCCCUUUCAGACAUUGCAUUUAGUUCCCAUUAAAACAUUCACAUGUUGCACAAUGAGAUGUAAGCAGGGGAUCAUGUGUACAUUCCUGCAACUUCCUGUUUGUAAAAAAUAUAUUUUUAUUAGUAUUUAUUUAAUAUACUAACAGCAUUUCAUGAUUAAUAUUUAUAAAUGAAGAUUCCCAAUAAAUGACACUAGAAUAAGCACACAUUUGAUUGGUAAAUCAUAGUGUAACGAUUUGGAAUGACACUUUAUGUGUGGUGUUGGAGUUGUCCGACUUUUUGUGUGUCUGUAAACGCAUCACUGGCUAAGUGCCAUAUGUGCAUGUGUUGGCGCAAGUGAGAAAGAGCGAGCGGCUGCUGUUGAUAUAACAAAGUUGCUUUUGGUCUGGUUUGUACUGCAGAAAAUGACCACUUUUGCUAGAUAUCUUUUUUUUUAACUAAUGAUUUGGUGAUGUGUUUAUGGCCGACAAAGAGUUUUGCUCAGUGAAGUGAUGGAUGGAAUUCAU